CUUGGUCAUUUAGAGGAAGUAAAAGUCGUAACAAGGUUUCCGUAGGUGAACCUGCGGAAGGAUCAUUGAAGAAUUUCGAAGCGGUUCGGUCGCCUGUGCUGGUUCCCUCCGGGACACGUGCACGGCUCCGUCCCGUUUCAACUCCUCACAAACACACACCUCUGCGCACAACCGAGGGUCGGAUCGCCUUUCACAUCUCUCGCGCCCCCCCGGCGCCCGAGUCUGACCCGUCCCUCAAACCCUUACACACUCUUUUGACCGUCUCGAAUGUCUAUAAUAACAAAUAUAAAUUACAACUUUCAACAAUGGAUCUCUUGGCUCUCGCAUCGAUGAAGAACGCAGCGAAAUGCGAUAAGUAAUGUGAAUUGCAGAAUUCAGUGAAUCAUCGAAUCUUUGAACGCACCUUGCGCCCCUCGGUCCUGCCGAGGAGCAUGCCCGUUUGAGUGCCGCGAACAUCAUCAACCUCAUCUCCCCGCUCUGGGGGGAAAAGGGUUGGACUUGGACGCUGCCGGCGACCUCGGUCUCGGCUCGUCUCAAAUGCAUUAGCAGUCUCCUUCUUCGGUCGCUGACCUUUCGGCGUGAUGGGUUCUUAAUGGACGAAGCGCCGUUGUGAGUGUCUCGGUGGCCAUCGAAAAUUUGCGGAGUCGGCUCCCAACAGGUCUCCCUCUCGCGAGACAAUCGCCUCGGCGGUUAACCGCUCUCCCCCGGGAGAGCGUCGUAUGGCCUCAAAUCGGGUAGGACUACCCGCUGAACUUAAGCAUAUCAAUAAGCGGAGGAAAAGAAACUAACAAGGAUUCCCCUAGUAACGGCGAGUGAAGCGGGAAAAGCUCAAAUUUUAAAUCUGGCGGUCCUUGGGCCGUCCGAGUUGUAAUCUAGAGAAGCGUCAUCCGCGCCGGACCGUGUUAAAGUCUCCUGGAACGGAGCGUCGUAGAGGGUGACAAUCCCGUCUCUAACGCGGACCACCGGGGCUUAUGCGAUGUGCUCUCCACGAGUCGAGUUGUUUGGGAAUGCAGCUCUAAUUGGGUGGUAAACUCCAUCUAAAGCUAAAUAUAGGCGAGAGACCGAUAGCGCACAAGUACCGUGAGGGAAAGAUGCAAAGCACUUUGGAAAGAGAGUGAAACAGUACGUGAAAUUGUUGAAAGGGAAACGCUUGAAGUCAGUCGCGUCUGCCGGGGAUCAGCCCGGCUUAACGGCCUGGUGCAUUCUCUGGUUUGACGGGUCAGCACCGAUUUUGGCCGUCUGUAUAAUGGCGGGUGGAAUGUGGCACUCCUCGGAGUGUGUUAUAGCCGCCCGUCGGGUGCGGCGACCGGGAUCGAGGUUCACAGCGCGCCCUUCUGGGCCGGGGUUUCGACUCACGUAACGCGCUUGCGAUGCUGGCGUAAUGGCUUUAAACGACCCGUCUUGAAACACGGACC
rnacentral:rRNA from 1 species